UAUGAUGGACUUCGAUAACCUUCUCGAUUUCAAGAACGACGACCCACUCCUCAACCCUCUGCUAAGAAAAGGAAAUUGGAUGAUAUUUUGACUGAUGUGAACUGGAGAAGGUGAGGUCUUGGUUGCCAAGUGGGAAGGUUAAGCCUGUGCGGUUGAAUGAUGUGAACUGGGGGAUUAGUUGGAAAGAUCGGCGAAUUCCAUU
rnacentral:lncRNA from 1 species